GCGGGAUUCGUAUAGUGGCUAUUACACCGGUCUCCAAAACCGGUUACGCAGGUUCAAUUCCUGCAUCCCGUG
rnacentral:tRNA from 2 species